GAGUUUGAUCCUGGCUCAGGAUGAACGCUGGCGGCGUGCCUAAUACAUGCAAGUCGAGCGAACAGAUAAGGAGCUUGCUCCUUUGACGUUAGCGGCGGACGGGUGAGUAACACGUGGGUAACCUACCUAUAAGACUGGAAUAACUCCGGGAAACCGGGGCUAAUGCCGGAUAAUAUUUAGAACCGCAUGGUUCUAAAGUGAAAGAUGGUUUUGCUAUCACUUAUAGAUGGACCCGCGCCGUAUUAGCUAGUUGGUGGGGUAAUGGCUUACCAAGGCAACGAUACGUAGCCGACCUGAGAGGGUGAUCGGCCACACUGGAACUGAGACACGGUCCAGACUCCUACGGGAGGCAGCAGUAGGGAAUCUUCCGCAAUGGGCGAAAGCCUGACGGAGCAACGCCGCGUGAGUGAUGAAGGUCUUCGGAUCGUAAAACUCUGUUAUUAGGGAAGAACAAAUGUGUAAGUAACUGUGCACGUCUUGACGGUACCUAAUCAGAAAGCCACGGCU
rnacentral:rRNA from 1 species